GUGAGGAAUUUUCCGCAAUGGGCGAAAGCCUGACGGAGCAAUGCCGCGUGAAGGAUGAAGGCCUAUGGGUUGUAAACUUCUUUUCUCAGAAAAGAAUUAUGACGGUAUCUGAGGAAUAAGCAUCGGCUAACUCUGUGCCAGCAGCCGCGGUAAGACAGAGGAUGCAAGCGUUAUCCGGAAUGAUUGGGCGUAAAGCGUCUGUAGGUUGUUUAAAAAGUAUUCUGUCAAAGAUUAGGGCUUAACCCUAGAUAGGCAGAAUAAACUUUUAAGCUAGAGUUUGGUAGAGGCAGAGGGAAUUCCCGGUGGAGCGGUGAAAUGCGUAGAUAUCGGGAGGAACACCAAAGGCGAAGGCACUCUGCUGGGCCAAUACUAACACUGAGAGACGAAAGUGAGGGGAGCAAAUGGGAUUAGAUACCCCAGUAGUCC
rnacentral:rRNA from 1 species